rnacentral:snoRNA from 1 species
UAGAUAAAACUGAUGAUAAUAUAGUUCAUCUGAACAAUAUCAAGUAAUGAUAGUUAAAAAUCUAUCUAUUUUCGCCCCUAUCUGAGAUUGUUUC